rnacentral:rRNA from 1 species
CGCCUCUUGCACCACAUAAGAGGUCCAGCCUGCCCAGUGACAAAGUUCAACGGCCGCGGUAUCCUGACCGUGCGAAGGUAGCAUAAUCACUUGUUCUUUAAAUAGGGACUAGUAUCAACGGCACCACGAGGGUUAUACUGUCUCCUUUUCCUGAUCGAUGAAACUAAUCUCCCCGUGAAGAAGCGGGGAUAAAAAUAUAAGACGAGAAGACCCCAUGGAGCUUUAAAUUCAAUAGGUAAUCUUAUACAAAUUAAUCAAUAUAAAUUUAAGACUCUACCUGUUAAUUUUAGGUUGGGGCGACCGCGGAGUAAAACCAAACCUCCACAACGAAUAAAGCACUAGCCUUAUCUAAGAGCCACAACUCCAAGAAUCAAAAAAUUGACGUACAAUGACCCGAUACUCGACUAAUGAAACAAGUUACCCUGGGGAUAACAGCGCAAUCUACUUCGAGAGCCCAUAUCAACAAGUAGGCUUACGACCUCGAUGUUGGAUCAGGAUGUCCCAGUGGUGCAGCCGCUACUAAAGGUUCGUUUGUUCAACGAUUAAAAUCCU